CCUACGGGAGGCUGCAGUGGGGGAUAUUGCACAAUGGGGGGAACCCUGAUGCAGCGACGCCGCGUGGGUGAAGAAGCGCCUCGGCGCGUAAAGCCCUGUCAGCAGGGAAGAAAAUGACGGUACCUGAAGAAGAAGCCCCGGCUAACUACGUGCCAGCAGCCGCGGGAAUACGUAGGGGGCAAGGGUUAUCCGGAUUUACUGGGGGUAAAGGGGGCGCAGACGGCGCUGCAAGCCAGGAGUGAAAGCCCGGGGCCCAACCCCGGGACUGCUCUUGGAACUGCGUGGCUGGAGUGCAGGAGGGGCAGGCGGAAUUCCUGGUGUAGCGGUGAAAUGCGUAGAUAUCAGGAGGAACACCGGUGGCGAAGGCGGCCUGCUGGACUGCAACUGACGUUGAGGCCCGAAAGCGUGGGGAGCAAACAGGAUUAGAUACCCGUGUAGUC
rnacentral:rRNA from 1 species